AUUGAACGCUGGCGGCAGGCCUAACACAUGCAAGUCGAGCGGGGUUUUCGGACCUAGCGGCGGACGGGUGAGUAAUGCGUAGGAAGCUGCCCGAUAGAGGGGGAUACCAGUUGGAAACGACUGUUAAUACCGCAUAAUGUCUACGGACCAAAGUGUGGGACCUUCGGGCCACAUGCUAUCGGAUGCGCCUACGUGGGAUUAGCUAGUUGGUGAGGUAAUGGCUCACCAAGGCGACGAUCUCUAGCCGGUUUGAGAGGAUGAUCAGCCACACUGGAACUGAGACACGGUCCAGACUACUACGGGAGGCAGCAGUGGGGAAUAUUGGACAAUGGGCGCAAGCCUGAUCCAGCCAUGCCGCGUGUGUGAAGAAGGCCUUCGGGUUGUAAAGCACUUUCAGCGAGGAGGAAGGGGUGUGUGUUGAUAGUACACACCUUUGACGUUACUCGCAGAAGAAGCACCGGCUAACUCUGUGCCAGCAGCCGCAGUAAGAC
rnacentral:rRNA from 1 species